UAGAGUUUGAUCCUGGCUCAGGACGAACGCUGGCGGCGUGCCUAAUACAUGCAAGUCGAGCGAACCCUUCGGGGUGAGCGGCGGACGGGUGAGUAACACGUGGGCAAUCUGCCUAUCAGACUGGAAUAACACUCGGAAACGGGUGCUAAUGCCGGAUAGUUCAAGGGAAGGCAUCUUCCGUUGAGGAAAGUUGCAAAUGCAACACUGAUAGAGGAGCCCGCGGCGCAUUAGCUAGUUGGUGAGGUAACGGCCCACCAAGGCGACGAUGCGUAGCCGACCUGAGAGGGUGACCGGCCACACUGGGACUGAGACACGGCCCAGACUCCUACGGGAGGCAGCAGUAGGGAAUCUUCCGCAAUGGGCGAAAGCCUGACGGAGCAACGCCGCGUGAGCGAAGAAGGCCUUCGGGUUGUAAAGCUCUGUUGCUCGGGGAGAGCAAUAAGGAGAGUGGAAAGCUCCUUAGGAGACGGUACCGAGUGAGGAAGCCCCGGCUAACUACGUGCCAGCAGCCGCGGUAAUACGUAGGGGGCAAGCGUUGUCCGGAAUCACUGGGCGUAAAGCGUGCGUAGGCGGUUGUGUAAGUCUGGAGUGAAAGUCCAAGGCUCAACCUUGGUUUGUCUUUGGAAACUGCAUAACUUGAGUGCUGGAAAAGNCAAGGGGAAUUCCNCGUGUAGCGGUGAAAUGCGUANAUAUGUGGAGGANUACNAGUGNGAAAGCNCUUGCUGGACAAAACUGACNCUGAGCACAAAGCGUGGGAGCAACAGGAUNNAUACCUGGUAUCCNCCCCUAACAAUAAUGCUAGUUUGGGG
rnacentral:rRNA from 1 species